rnacentral:rRNA from 1 species
UACGAAGGGGGCUAGCGUUGUUCGGAUUUACCGGGCGUAAAGCGCACGUAGGCGGAUUGUUAAGUCAGGGGUGAAAUCCCGGAGCUCAACUCCGGAACUGCCUUUGAUACUGGCAAUCUUGAGGCUGGAAGAGGUUAGUGGAAUUCCCAGUGUAGAGGUGAAAUUCGUAGAUAUUGGGAAGAACACCAGUGGCGAAGGCGGCUAACUGGUCCAGAUCUGACGCUGAGGUGCGAAAGCGUGGGGAGCAAACAGGG